GAAAUGCGAUAAGUAAUGUGAAUUGCAGAAUUCAGUGAAUCAUCGAAUCUUUGAACGCACAUUGCGCCCCCUGGUAUUCCGGGGGGCAUGUCUGUUCGAGCGUCAUUUCACCACUCAAGCCUCGCUUGGUAUUGGGCGACGCGGUCCGCCGCGCGCCUCAAAUCGACCGGCUGGGUCUUUCGUCCCCUCAGCGUUGUGGAAACUAUUCGCUAAAGGGUGCCGCGGGAGGCCACGCCGUAAAACAACCCCAUUUCUAAGGUUGACCUCGGAUCAGGUAGGGAUACCCGCUGAACUUAAGC
rnacentral:misc_RNA from 1 species